CAUGGAACGAGCAACAUCUUAACAGAUAUUUGAAACGCUCUCAUGCUUCAAAGAGAGACUCUCAUUCCUCUUGUCUAAAGUUAUUAAUUUCACUUCUCACAUG